rnacentral:rRNA from 1 species
AUUGAACGCUGGCGGCAGGCUUAACACAUGCAAGUCGAGCGGGGGAAGGUAGCUUGCUACCGGACCUAGCGGCGGACGGGUGAGUAAUGCUUAGGAAUCUGCCUAUUAGUGGGGGACAACAUCUCGAAAGGGAUGCUAAUACCGCAUACGUCCUACGGGAGAAAGCAGGGGAUCUUCGGACCUUGCGCUAAUAGAUGAGCCUAAGGCGGAUUAGCUAGUUGGGGGGGUAAAGGCCUACCAAGGCGACGAUCUGUAGCGGGUCUGAGAGGAUGGUCGGCCACGCUGGGACCGGGACACGGGCACGACUCCUGCGGGAGGCAGCAGUGGGGAAUAUUGGACAAUGGGGGGAACCCUGAUCCAGCCAUGCCGGGUGUGUGAAGAAGGCCUUAUGGUUGUAAAGCACUUUAAGCGAGGAGGAGGCUACUUUAGUUAAUACCUAGAGAUAGUGGACGUUACUCGCAGAAUAAGCACCGGCUAACUCUGUGCCAGCCGCCGCGGUAA